rnacentral:rRNA from 1 species
UACGGAGGAUGCAAGCGUUAUCCGGAAUGAUUGGGCGCAAAGCGUCCGCAGGUGGCUGUGUAAGUCUGCUGUCAAAGAGCGAAGCUCAACUUCGUAAAGGCAGUGGAAACUACACGGCUAGAGUGCGUUCGGGGCAGAGGGAAUUCCUGGUGUAGCGGUGAAAUGCGUAGAGAUCAGGAAGAACACCGGUGGCGAAGGCGCUCUGCUAGGCCGCAACUGACACUGAGGGACGAAAGCUAGGGGAGCGAAUGGG